CACGUAGUUAGCCGGUGCUUAUUCUUACGGUACCGUCAUGGGCCUCUCGUAUUAGGAGAAGCUUUUUCGUUCCGUACAAAAGCAGUUUACAACCCGAAGGCCUUCAUCCUGCACGCGGCAUUGCUGGAUCAGGCUUUCGCCCAUUGUCCAAAAUUCCCCA
rnacentral:rRNA from 1 species